UGGGGAAUAUUGCGCAAUGGGGGAAACCCUGACGCAGCGACGCCGCGUGCGGGAUGAAGGCCUUCGGGUUGUAAACCGCUUUUGAUUGGGAGCAAGCCUUUUGGGUGAGUGUACCUUUCGAAUAAGCGCCGGCUAACUACGUGCCAGCAGCCGCGGUAAUACGUAGGUGGCAAGCGUUGUCCGGAAUUAUUGGGCGUAAAGCGCGCGCAGGUGGUUUAGAAAGUCUGAUGUGAAAGCCCACGGCUCAACCGUGGAGGGUCAUUGGAAACUAAUAAACUUGAGUGCAGGAGAGAAAAGUGGAAUUCCUAGUGUAGCGGUGAAAUGCGUAGAGAUUAGGAGGAACACCGGUGGCGAAAGCGGCUUUUUGGCCUGCAACUGACACUGAGGCGCGAAAGCGUGGGGAGCAAACAGG
rnacentral:rRNA from 1 species